CGGGACGGGUGAGUAAUGUAUGGGGAUCUGCCUGAUGGCGGGGGGUAACUACUGGAAACGGUAGCUAAUACCGCAUAAUGUCUGCGGACCAAAGCGGGGGACCUCCGGGCCUCGCGCCAUCAGAUGAACCCAUAUGGGAUUAGCUAGUAGGUAAGGUAACGGCUUACCUAGGCGACGAUCCCUAGCUGGUCUGAGAGGAUGACCAGCCACACUGGAACUGAGACACGGUCCAG
rnacentral:rRNA from 1 species